GGGGGAGUUGAUGGCCUGCUGCCGGCUCGCUGUGGCUGACCAACCGGCCAUGCGCGCGCCGUGCCGUGGACCCCGCUUCAGCCGCUCGUCGGCAACACUAGAUACGGGUCUCGUCGUCUCGUUGGACACACCGCCCCCAAUCCACAGCCACGCACUCCUCCCUCCUCCCUCUCAAAGCCGCCACACCCAUUCCUCCCUUCCGCCUCCCUCCCCGGAUCCCUACCACCGUCACACGGCCCACACCCACUCGUCUCCUCCUCUCGCUCUUUAGCUUCCUCCUCCUUCCUGAUCUCCGCGUCGGCCGCGGCGCGAGAGGAGCGGUGGUGGCGGCAUCGAGUUGCGAACCCCGGGACCAGGUCUGGGGGUUUGGUUCCAAGGCGCCGACGGCUUCUCCGUCUAUGACGCCGGGGGUGAGUACACACCCCAGUCCCCUCCUCCUGCGCGAACCCUACGAGAGAGAGAGAGAGAGGAAGAUGAGAGGUAGGGAGAGAGAAUGACCGGCGUCGGCCUGCACCGGCGAGGAUGGGCGCGACCUGGAGGUUAGCCGCUGCUCGAUUCGCUCCUGGAUCGGGAACUGCGUCGAAGCUGGGGUUCGGGCGCGUUGCAUGGGAGGCUGCACUCCGCCUCUUCCUCGUGGUGCGGCGGACGGCGGCUCUUACGGUCGUGCGGCCGAUGGCAGCCUCAGCGGGUGGUCGACGACACUUGCAGCUGGUGCUCUACCCAUGGAUUCCGGCACAGCUCGAAAUGCUCAGGACAAAUUAGGCCUCGGCCAAUGGUGGAGAAGACAGAGUACAGGGACAAGCCGCUGGAGCACGUGUUCAUGGGAUGUUCGUGCGCAAGAUGCAGAAGUUCGCCGGAAGGAAGAAGAGCGGGCCGGGGAGGAUGAGGAGAAGGCGGGAUGCGAGGUGCUUGCACGCGCAGCAGCAGGAGGUCGUCUGUGAGGUGCUCCUCUGGAUGCUCCCUUCCGGCGCUGGGCCUAGGUGUUCAACGCCGCCCUCACCAUCCCCUUCUUCCAUUGGCUCAUCGGCCCGUCAGAGGUUAUUGAGGUGGAGGUCAACGGUGUGAGGCGGAGAAGUGGAGUUCUCAUAAAGAAACACAUGUGUGGCUGCAGGUAAAGUUGUCAAGUUGAUCUGGUGCUUGCUUGAGCCGUUGAUUACUGCUGCUUUGCUAAGGUUCAACGUCUUACUACAUGAGAAGUUUAUUCCAAUGCUUUCUCAAUCCCUUUACCAUGAUGACUACCAGAGGAACCUUCAAUGUGUAUAGAUGGUGAUGGAUAUGGGGACACACAAGAACUAGCGAACUUAAUACCAGAUGCCCUCAACUAUGAAUUCUUUAAUUAUUGGAGGCUUUCAUAUUCAUAUCAAUACAAGUUUGCAGUGUGAUGUUCCGUGAUUCCGGAUUGGGCGCACCUCGUUGUCGUGGAGAGCAUGAGUGGCUGGGUCUUCAUGGUGGGGUGGUCUGCAGGGGAGGGAAGGUUGCUGACGACAGGGGGAAGGAGGAGGCCGACGAGGAGGGUAAACAACAGGGUUAAGGGGCACAGCGAGCCCAGCAGGGGGAAAAAGCAGGGCGAGCGACGCCAGUGGGAGGAAGGAGCAGGGCGAGGCCUCGCGCAUCUGCAUGGUUGCAGUGUAAUGUGAAGAUUCCAAGGGAUAUCAAGCUUUAAAUUGGGAUCAUUUGCAAAGCGGAAAUAUAGAGAUCGACAUCUGAUGGGAAGGAACAUGUCGAAUAUAACAGCCAAACAAGGAAGGGACAUGAGGCUGUAAUAUCAUUUUCGUUCUCAUUUCUUGUAGGAAGUCACAAAUAGGAGUGAUGGUGGAAAUAUAACUGCCACUUUGUACCUUUAUGUUUUUCUGAAAGAACUUUGAGCUACCGUUAGUUUCUUUUCCUGGUUCGUAAUCGGUAUAUACAGUUACCACACAAUCAUGAUCACCAAUGUUCACAACUGUCUGAAUCGUGUGAUUCAAAGCAGAACCCAUAUGAUUGCCACCCAUGCAUGUAAUGUGUUAUCUGCAGUAUAUCUCAAUUUUGAAUGUGACAUGUCCUGUAUGUAUGUUAACUUCAGAUUUUUGUCAACCUCUUUGUUAUCUAAGUUUCCAUUAUUUUUUUGCUUGCUUCGAUCUUUCAAAUUUUGUGAUUGUUAGCAAUAUCGACUUUGUUAUCUUCACCAAGUGUACAGUUGCAUAGUA
rnacentral:rRNA from 1 species